GAGUUACCCUUGGGCCACCCUGAGUGACCCUGGGACCACCCUGAGUGACCCCUGGGCUACCCUGAGUGACCCCUGGGCCACCCUGAGUGACCCUUGGACCACCCUGAGUGACCCUUGGGUAACUCUGGACAACAUCAGGUGACCCUCAGGCCACACUGGACCACGUCAGAUGACCGCUGGACCACCCUGGAUGACCCUCAGACCACCUUGGACCACCUUAAAUGACCUUCAGGCCACUCUAAGCCACAUCAGAUGACUCUUGGGCCACCCUAGACCACCUUGAAUGACCCUCAGGCCACCGUGACUGACCCUUGGGCCACCCUAGAUGACCCUCAGACCACCUUGGACCAUCCUGGAUGACCCUUGGACCACCCUGGAUGACCCUUGGACCACCUUAGACCAUUCUGGAUGACCUUUGGGCCACCCUGGAUGACCCUUGGACCACCUCAGACCAUUCUGGAUGACCCUUGGGCCACCCUGAAUGACCCUCAGGACACCCUGGGCCCCAUCAGAUGACCACUGGACCACCCUGAAUGACCCUCAGGCCACCCUGGAUGACCAUUGGACCACCCUGGACCACCCUAAAUGACCCUCAGGCCACUGCAGACCAUGUCAGAUGACACUUGGACCAUCUUGAAUGACCCUUGGGCCACCCUGGACCAUCUUGAAUGACCCUCA
rnacentral:lncRNA from 12 species